rnacentral:rRNA from 1 species
ACGGAAGGCAGCAGUGGGGGAUAUUGCACAAUGGGCGAAACCCUGAUGCAGCGACGCCGCGUGAGCGAAGAAGUAUUUCGGUAUGUAAAGCUCUAUCAGCAGGGAAGAAAAUGACGGUACCUGACUAAGAAGCUCCGGCUAAAUACGUGCCAGCAGCCGCGGUAAUACGUAUGGAGCAAGCGUUAUCCGGAUUUACUGGGUGUAAAGGGAGCGUAGACGGGACAGCAAGUCUGAUGUGAAAUGCGGGGGCUCAACCCCUGAACUGCAUUGGAAACUGUUGACCUUGAGUGCCGGAGAGGUAAGCGGAAUUCCUAGUGUAGCGGUGAAAUGCGUAGAUAUUAGGAGGAACACCAGUGGCGAAGGCGGCUUACUGGACGGUAACUGACGUUGAGGCUCGAAAGCGUGGGGAGCAAACAGGAUUAGAUACCCUGGUA